rnacentral:rRNA from 1 species
GACGAACCGUGCGAACGUUAUUCGGAAUCACUGGGCUUAAAGCGCGUGUAGGCGGGCCGGCACGUCGAUGGCUGGAAUCCCCCGGCUCAACCGGGGAAGUGGCCUCGAUACGACCGGCCUGGAGGGGGGUAGGGGGCGCCGGAACUUCCGGUGGAGCGGUGAAAUGCGUUGAGAUCGGAAGGAACGCCCGUGGCGAAAGCGGGCGCCUGGACCCCACCUGACGCUGAGACGCGAAAGCCAGGGGAGCGAACGGG